rnacentral:rRNA from 1 species
UACAGAGGUCUCAAGCGUUGUUCGGAUUCAUUGGGCGUAAAGGGUGCGUAGGUGGCGCGCUAAGUCAGGUGUGAAAUUUCGGAGCUUAACUCCGAAACUGCAUUCGAUACCUGGCGUGCUUGAGGACUUGGAGAGGAGACUGGAAUUACGGUGUAGCAGUGAAAUGCGUAGAUAUCGUAAGGAAGACCAGUGGCGAAGGCGG